rnacentral:rRNA from 1 species
GGAUAACCUGCCCUUGGGACCGGCAUAACCCCGGGAAACUGGGGAUAAUUCCGGAUAACGCAUAUGUGCUGGAAUGCUUUAUGCGUAAAAUGGAUUCGUCUGCCCAAGGAUGGGUCUGCGGCCUAUCAGGUAGUAGUGGGUGUAAUGUACCUACUAGCCAGCGACGGGUACGGGUUGUGAGAGCAAGAGCCCGGAGAUGGAUUCUGAGACAUGAAUCCAGGCCCUACGGGGCGCAGCAGGCGCGAAAACUUUACAAUGCGGGAAACCGUGAUAAGGGGACACCGAGUGCCAGCAUCAUAUGCUGGCUGUCCAGGUGUGUAAAAUACACCUGUUAGCAAGGGCCGGGCAAGACCGGUGCCAGCCGCCGCGGUAACACCGGCGGCCCGAGUGGUGAUCGUGAUUAUUGGGUCUAAAGGGUCCGUAGCCGGUUUGGUCAGUCCUCCGGGAAAUCUGAUAGCUCAACUAUUAGGCUUUCGGGGGAUACUGCCAGACUUGGAACCGGGAGAGGUAAGAGGUACUACAGGGGUAGGAGUGAAAUCUUGUAAUCCCUGUGGGACCACCUGUGGCGAAGGCGUCUUACCAGAACGGGUUCGACGGUGAGGGACGAAAGCUGGGGGCACGAACCGGAUUAGAUACCCGGGUAGUCCCAGCCGUAAACGAUGCUCGCUAGGUGUCAGGCAUGGCGCGACCGUGUCUGGUGCCGCAGGGAAGCCGUGAAGCGAGCCACCUGGGAAGUACGGCCGCAAGGCUGAAACUUAA